GGCUCAUUGGUCAAGCGGUUAAGACGCCGCCCUCUCACGGCGGAAACAGCGGUUCGAUUCCGCUAUGAGCUA
rnacentral:tRNA from 1 species